CCUACGGGUGGCUGCAGUGAGGAAUAUUGGUCAAUGGACGAGAGUCUGAACCAGCCAAGUAGCGUGAAGGAUGACUGCCCUAUGGGUUGUAAACUUCUUUUAUAUGGGAAUAAAACGUUCCACGUGUGGGAUUUUGUAUGUACCAUAUGACUAAGGAUCGGCUAACUCCGUGCCAGCAGCCGCGGUAAUACGGAGGAUCCGAGCGUUAUCCGGAUUUAUUGGGUUUAAAGGGAGCGUAGGUGGAUUGUUAAGUCAGUUGUGAAAGUUUGCGGCGCAACCGUAAAAUUGCAGUUGAAACUGGCAGUCUUGAGUACAGUAGAGGUGGGCGGAAUUCGUGGUGUAGCGGUGAAAUGCUUAGAUAUCACGAAGAACUCCGAUUGCGAAGGCAGUUCACUGGACUGCAACUGACACUGAGGCUCGAAAGUGUGGGUAUCAAACAGGAUUAGAUACCCUUGUAGUC
rnacentral:rRNA from 1 species